UCCUAGCACAUGGACGUCGAACGUUAAAACGGGGCCACCCGCAAGUAGAGUGGGGGACGGGUGACCUCAAUACAUCGGAACGUGUCCAGAAAAGGGGGAUAACCUAACGAAAGUGACGCUAGUACCGGAUACAAUCUGCAGAUGAUACCGGGGGAUGCGCCAGUAAAAGCUAUGGGCAAACUACAGUCGCAUGCAAUCCAAUAGUUGAUGGUGCUGCACCUGCUCGUUAUUGGAGCGGCUGAUGUCUGAUUAACUACUGGGUGAUGUAGUGGCUUAGCAUCGCGACGAUCAGUAACUGGUCUGACAAGA
rnacentral:rRNA from 1 species